rnacentral:rRNA from 1 species
AUGUUCCUAGAGAAAAUUAUGUUGAAAGAUGUUAGUAGCAAUGAUGCGGAUUGGAUCCGUGAUCUGAGGUUUAUCCUCAUUGCUGCACAGAAGAAUUAUGUCCUUAAUGCACCGCUAGGUGACAGACCUAUUGCAGGAGCAGAUGCAGACGUUAUGAACGUUUGGCUAGCUCAAUAUGAUGACUACUUGAUAGUUUUGUGCACCAUGCUUUAUGGCUUAGAAUCGGGACUUCAAAGAUGUUUUGAACGUCAUGGACCAUAUGAGAUGUUCCAGGAAUUAAAGUUAAUAUUUCAAGCAAAUACCCGAGUUGAGAGAUAUGAAGUCUCCAACAAGUUCUAUAGCUAA